rnacentral:rRNA from 1 species
CCUACGGGAGACAGCAGUGAGGAAUAUUGGUCAAUGGGCUUACGCCUGAACCAGCCAAGUCGCGUGAGGGAAGACUGCCCUAUGGGUUGUAAACCUCUUUUGUCAGGGAGCAACGCCGGCUACGUGUAGCCGGACUGAGAGUACCUGAAGAAAAAGCAUCGGCUAACUCCGUGCCAGCAGCCGCGGUAAUACGGAGGAUGCGAGCGUUAUCCGGAUUUAUUGGGUUUAAAGGGUGCGUAGGCGGAAUGCCAAGUCAGCGGUAAAAUCGCGGGGCUCAACCUCGCUCCGCCGUUGAAACUGGCGGUCUUGAGUGGGCGAGAAGUAGGCGGAAUGCGGGGUGUAGCGGUGAAAUGCAUAGAUAUCACGCAGAACUCCGAUUGCGAAGGCAGCAUACCGGCGCCCAACUGACGCUGAAGCACGAAAGCGUGGGUAUCGAACAGGAUUAGAUACCCCAGUAGUC